rnacentral:rRNA from 1 species
AGGGAAUCUUCCGCAAUGGACGCAAGUCUGACGGAGCAACGCCGCGUGAGUGAUGAAGGUUUUCGGAUCGUAAAGCUCUGUUGCCCUAGACGAACAGCAAGGGGAGUCACUGCCCUUUGUGUGACGGUAUAGGAGAAGAAAGCCCCGGCUAACUACGUGCCAGCAGCCGCGGUAAUACGUAAGGGGCAAGCGUUGUCCGGAAUUAUUGGGCGUAAAGCGCGCGCAGGCGGCUGUUUAAGUCUGACGUUUAAGCCCGGGGCUCAACCCCGGUUCGCGUUGGAAACUGGACGGCUUGAGUGCAGGAGAGGAAAGCGGAAUUCCACGUGUAGCGGUGAAAUGCGUAGAGAUGUGGAGGAACACCAGUGGCGAAGGCGGCUUUCUGGCCUGUAACUGACGCUGAGGCGCGAAAGCGUGGGGAGCAAAC